rnacentral:rRNA from 1 species
UACGUAGGGUGCAAGCGUUUGUCCGGAAUUAUUGGGCGUAAAGAGCUCGUAGGCGGUUUGUCGCGUCGAAAUGUGAAAACCCGGGGCUCAACCCCGGGCCUGCAUUCGAUACGGGCAGACUAGAGUUCGGUAGGGGAGUCUGGAAUUCCUGGUGUAGCGGUGAAAUGCGCAGAUAUCAGGAGGAACACCGGUGGCGAAGGCGGGACUCUGGGCCGAUACUGACGUGAGGAGCGAAAGCGUGGGGAGCAAACAGG